rnacentral:misc_RNA from 1 species
GGUGAACCUGCGGAAGGAUCAUUAACACGUAUCCUAACGUUACCACCCGUGCACAUUCAAACCCUACCACCCUUUUGGGACCCGGGUUGUUCGCCAACUUCUUCCCGCGCACAUCAGUACUUUGUGGGAAGCCCUCGCAAUAGGUGUAGCACAGUUUCGCGGCGUCGAUUAGCAUGACUGAAAGGCGCACGGGGGACUGCUCCUGUCAAUUGCGACCCUGAUACUCUGCAACCUUUGUGGCGAGGUUGUUUGCAAACCCUUAUGGCGUGAACUACUACUCAGGCUGACCCAGGACCUCCCAACCUCAAAUGGUGUCGGGUUCCCCCCGCUCGGGGCCCUGAGAAGCUCCAGAGUCGGAAACCCCGGACAACUGUUCAAUGGAUAUCUUGGCUCUC